GACGAACGCUGGCGGCGUGCUUAACACAUGCAAGUCGAACGCUGAAGCCCUGGCUUUUGUUGGGUUGGAUGAGUGGCGAACGGGUGAGUAACACGUGAGUAACCUGCCCUCUUCUUUGGGAUAACGCCCGGAAACGGGUGCUAAUACUGGAUAUUCACUGAUCUUCGCAUGGGGGUUGGUGGAAAGGUUUGUUCUGGUGGGGGAUGGGCUCGCGGCCUAUCAGCUUGUUGGUGGGGUGAUGGCCUACCAAGGCUUUGACGGGUAGCCGGCCUGAGAGGGUGACCGGUCACAUUGGGACUGAGAUACGGCCCAGACUCCUACGGGAGGCAGCAGUGGGGAAGAUUGCACAAUGGGCGAAAGCCGGAUGCAGCGACGCCGCGUGAGGGAUGGAGGCCUUCGGGUUGUAAACCUCUUUCGCUCAUGGUCAAGCCGCAACUGUGGGUUGUGGUGAGGGUAGUGGGUAAAGAAGCGCCGGCUAACUACGUG
rnacentral:rRNA from 1 species